AGUGAACGCUGGCGGUAGGCCUAACACAUGCAAGUCGAACGGCGGCACAGUAAGAGCUUGCUCUUACGGGUGGCGAGUGGCGGACGGGUGAGGAAUACAUCGGAAUCUACUUUUUCGUGGGGGAUAACGUAGGGAAACUUACGCUAAUACCGCAUACGACCUACGGGUGAAAGCAGGGGAUCUUCGGACCUUGCGCGAUUGAAUGAGCCGAUGUCGGAUUAGCUAGUUGGCGGGGUAAAGGCCCACCAAGGCGACGAUCCGUAGCUGGUCUGAGAGGAUGAUCAGCCACACUGGAACGGAGACACGGUCCAGACUCCUACGGGAGGCAGCAGUGGGGAAUAUUGGACAAUGGGCGCAAGCCUGAUCCAGCCAUACCGCGUGGGUGAAGAAGGCCUUCGGGUUGUAAAGCCCUUUUGUUGGGAAAGAAAAGCAGCAGGUUAAUACCCCGCUGUUCUGACGGUACCCAAAGAAUAAGCACCGGCUAACUUCGUG
rnacentral:rRNA from 1 species